rnacentral:tRNA from 1 species
UUUUAUAUAGUUUAUCUAAAACUUUAUAUUUUCAAUAUAAAAAAAAUAUUUAUUAUUUAUUUACUUAAA